CCUCAGAUUCGAAUCCGUCAGCCUCCGCCACCGCCGCCGCAACGCCGUUAUUCCUUGCCUGAGCUUCGUAUCUGACAUAGUUGCUUGUUUCAACCGAGUUUUCCAAUAUAUAGUUCACGCAAUCACUGGCCAAGGAAUAAGGUGACUUUGACCUACACAACUUUGCUUAUUCUUGAUCACGAAAUGGUGUUCGUGGGGUACGAGGACUUUGUUGUGAGCCUUCUAACCUUCUUAGCCUUGCACGAGCUUUGUUGAUUCUUUCCCUCACACUACUAUCAUCCAUGCCGAAGGACUCGCCGUCGUCCUCGACCUCCGUGUUAUUGGCUCGGGACUUAGGAGUCCCCCGGUGGAUAAUUGUGGUGGCGCUCGGCGACGAGGGCGGGCUUGGUGGCCACUUCUUAGUCUUGCUUAGGGAAGGAAUUUGCUUCAACUUAUUAAUUGGUGUUGGUUGUGUUGAUAUAGGCACUUCUUGUUGCUCCUCCUUUUUCUGCAAUGCGUAGCACGUUCCUCAUUUCUCUCUAGCGAUCAUAUACUAUUGGAUAUUUUUGUCCUUUUCAAAUGGUUAUUUUGAAAUCGACUA